rnacentral:tRNA from 11 species
AAAAUCCGUCGACUUUAAAAAUCGUGAGGGUUCAAGUCCCUCUA